rnacentral:rRNA from 1 species
CCUACGGGAGGCAGCAGUGGGGAAUAUUGCACAAUGGGGGGAACCCUGAUGCAGCGACGCCGCGUGAGUGAAGAAGUAAUUCGUUAUGUAAAGCUCUAUCAGCAGGGAAGAAAAUGACGGUACCUGAGUAAGAAGCCCCGGCUAACUACGUGCCAGCAGCCGCGGUAAUACGUAGGGGGCAAGCGUUAUCCGGAUUUACUGGGUGGAAAGGGAGCGUAGACGGCAGUGCAAGUCUGGAGUGAAAGGCGGGGGCUCAACCCCCGGACUGCUCUGGAAACUGUACGGCUGGAGUGCAGGAGAGGUAAGUGGAAUUCCUAGUGUAGCGGUGAAAUGCGUAGAUAUUAGGAGGAACACCAGUGGCGAAGGCGGCUUACUGGACUGUAACUGACGUUGAGGCUCGAAAGCGUGGGGAGCAAACAGGAUUAGAUACCCCUGUAGUC